GCGGAUGUGGCGGAAUGGUAGACGCGCUAGUUUCAGGUACUAGUAUCGCAAGAUGUGGAGGUUCAAGUCCUCUCAUCCGCACCA
rnacentral:tRNA from 1 species